AUUGAACGCUGGCGGCAUGCCUUACACAUGCAAGUCGAACGGCAGCACGGGAGCAAUCCUGGUGGCGAGUGGCGAACGGGUGAGUAAUAUAUCGGAACGUGCCCAGUCGUGGGGGAUAACGUAGCGAAAGCUACGCUAAUACCGCAUACGAUCUACGGAAGAAACCGGGGGAUCGCAAGACCUCGCGCGAGUGGAGCGGCCGAUAUCAGAUUAGGUAGUUGGUGGGGUAAAGGCUCACCAAGCCGACGAUCUGUAGCUGGUCUGAGAGGACGACCAGCCACACUGGGAAUGAGACACGGCCCAGACUCCUACGGGAGGCAGCAGUGGGGAAUUUUGGACAAUGGGCGCAAGCCUGAUCCAGCAAUGCCGCGUGCAGGUUGAAGGCCUUCGGGUUGUAAACUGCUUUUGUACGGAACGAAACGGCGAGCUCUAAUACAGUUUGCUAAUGACGGUACCGUAAGAAUAAGCACCGGCUAACUACGUGCCAGCAGCCGCCGUAA
rnacentral:rRNA from 1 species